UGUUGUAUAGUGUAAAGGUAGCACGUGUGACUUUGCAUCACAAAAUGACAGUUCGAGUCUGUCUACAGCUGUCAACAA
rnacentral:tRNA from 1 species